rnacentral:misc_RNA from 1 species
AAGCGGAGAGGGACACACGUGCGCGCUCAAGAGCGCCGUCUCUCCCGCUACCCGCGCCAACAACAACCAAGGGAAAAGAAGGCAUCAUCCACUCGGUCGUCUUCGCUGGACACGGCGGCAACGCGGUCGAUGCGCGGAGCGAAGGGACGGAGUGAAUCGCUGGAUUUUUGAUGCACGAGACGCAGGAAGGAGAAUAGACAACGAGCACAUGCCAUCUCGAGGAUGGAGUACAACGACGACGAGUACGGCCGCGAGAGCAGCGUGGAGGAGCUCGCGCAGUCACAGGAGAGUGAGCAGGUGGCCUCCGCCGCCUCUGCCUUGCCAGCGUCUUCAUCGUCGGACGCCUCUGCCAAGCCGUCUUUUCGAAUUCUAAGCACACCGCAGCUUGCGCAGUGGGUUCGGGUGCACAAUCAGAUGGACGUGGGCUGCUCCGGCAACACCGUCUGGACGGUGAGCAGCGCAAAGCACGGCAACGGUGUUCGCCACUUGAUGCGCCACCACGACCUCAACAACUUCUGGCAGUCGGACGGGGUGCUGCCACACGUGAUUCGCAUCCAGCUCGGCCAGCUUACCCCGGUCGAGGCCAUGGCGGUGUACGUGAACAGCGCCGUCGAUCAGAGCUACUCUCCGCGGGUGAUUCGGGUAAAGGCGGGCACGCACAGUGGAGACAUGACGGAGGUCGCCAAGGCGGACAUCGGCGCCGGUCAGGAGUGCGGUUGGGUGCUGAUAACGCUGCGCGAGAUGGCAGGAGACGACGGCGACGAUCUAGAAGGAGGCGGUGCCAACGAUGGCGGCGGUGGCGUGGCAGCGGGUGUGAAAGUACAGCACACACAGCAAGAAGUGCGUCCGCGCCAACGGGACGGCGGCGCACCGGCAGGGGGCGCCGCCUCGUCGUACUCGCCGCCCAUACCGUAUAGCGAGGUAGCCGCAGUGCUGGGACAUGGCAACCACGCGACCCCCUCAAGCGCGGGAGCGCAAACAUCCGCCGCGAUGCCGAUGAACCCACACAACACCAGCAACGCCGCCGACCGCUGGCUGUGGUGCACACUAAUUGACAUCUGCAUCUGCGAAAACCAGUUCAACGGACGUGACUGCCAUCUGCGAGGGAUUCGGCUCAUGGGGCCGCGCUACGAGGAGUUGGAGCGGGUGAGCAAUGCAGACGCGACGGACACGGUGACUUGCGCACGGCCGCUGCGGGGCGGUGAACCGCUGGAAGGCACGGCAGAUGAGCUGCAGCUGCGAUAGAAAUGGUGGUGGCGGAGCAGGGAAAGAGAGGGCAAAUGGGCGCGGCGGCCCAAGGCGGUGAGGUGGGAGGAGGGGAAGGGAGGCGUCUACGGAAGAGAGCCACCGAAGAAGUGCACAAGGGGGCCGCAGAGGAAGCGGCGCGGUAGUGACGCGCGUGCCUCGUCGAACGUAGGCAUGUGCAUGUGUCUUUCAUCCACGAGUAAACACACACACGAUGUGCUGCUCUCCCUCGAUCCCGCUCUCUCCUGCUCGCCAUUACCUCGGUCGUCCUUCGGUGGCGCCGCGCAACAAGCCAACGAAUGGGGGAAGCAGCAGGCAGUGUCUGAAGAAGGCGAAACACGACGACCCCAGUCUCGAGAACGAGGGCCAUGGUCGCUUAUACGGAUAGAGCGGCAUACACCUACGCGUACGCAGCACCGCUUGAGCGGUCUACGUUGCAGUCCCUGUCGUCUAUCCCUCCCUGUUUUUCUUUCUCUCUCUCUGGCGGCGUGCCGCUCGUGGAGAAGCAGCGAG